rnacentral:tRNA from 1 species
GCCGAAGUGGCGGAAUUGGCAGACGCGACGGUCUCAAACACCGUUGGGCGUAAAGCCCGUGCCGGUUCGAGUCCGGCCUUCGGCACCA